rnacentral:rRNA from 1 species
UACAGAGGUCUCAAGCGUUGUUCGGAUUCACUGGGCGUAAAGGGUGCGUAGGCGGUCGGGUAAGUCUGAUGUGAAAUCUCGCAGCUUAACUGCGACACUGCAUUGGAAACUAUCUGACUAGAGGAAUGGAGGGGAGACUGGAAUACUUGGUGUAGCAGUGAAAUGCGUAGAUAUCAAGUGGAACACCAGUGGCGAAGGCGAGUCUCUGGACAGUUCCUGACGCUGAGGCACGAAAGCCAGGGGAGCAAACAGG